rnacentral:rRNA from 1 species
UACGGAGGGAGCUAGCGUUGUUCGGAAUUACUGGGCGUAAAGGGCGCGUAGGCGGCCCGCUAAGUCGAACGUGAAAUCCCCAGGCUCAACCUGGGAACUGCGUCCGAUACUGGCAGGCUUGAAUCCGGGAGAGGGAUGUGGAAUUCCAGGUGUAGCGGUGAAAUGCGCAGAUAUCAGGAGGAACACCGGUGGCGAAGGCGGGUCUCUGGGCCGAUACUGACGCUGAGGAGCGAAAGCGUGGGGAGCGAACAGG